rnacentral:ribozyme from 13 species
AAAACUGAAGAGAGAAAAAUCGAAUAUAUUAAGCCAACCCAUCAUGAGAGCGAUUGGGUUCCUGCAUUUUUUGCUUUUUUCACUUUUUUGCUGGGGGCUGCUAUUGGUGUUGUUCUUUUUAACUACAACAAGGGAAGAAAUUUGGGAGGUAGAGAAGAAGAAGAUGAUGAUGAAUCAUUUGGUUCUUCUUUUUCUGUUUCGAAAUCUG